rnacentral:rRNA from 1 species
UACGUAGGUGGCAAGCGUUGUCCGGAUUCAUUGGGCGUAAAGGGUGCGUAGGCGGCGCGGUAAGUCGGGUGUGAAAUCUCGGGGCUUAACUCCGAAACUGCAUUCGAUACUGCCGUGCUUGAGGACUGGAGAGGAGACUGGAAUUUACGGUGUAGCGGUGAAAUGCGUAGAUAUCGUAAGGAAGACCAGUGGCGAAGGCGGGUCUCUGGACAGUUCCUGACGCUGAGGCACGAAGGCCAGGGGAGCAAACGGG